rnacentral:sRNA from 1 species
CAGCCACAUCUACAGCUACCACCAGCGGAAUGGCUUUGCCUGCAUCUUGCUGGAGGAUGUCUUCCAGCUGGGACAAUUUAUUUUCAUUGUCACCUUCACAACCUUCCUCCUUCGAUGCGUGGAUUACAAUGUUCUCUUUGCCAACCAACCAAGUAACCAUACCAGACCUGGGUCGUUCCACAGCAAAGUGACCCUGUCAGAUGCCAUCCUACCCUCAGCCCAGUGUGCUGAGAGGAUCUGCUCCAGCCCGCUGCUGGUCCUCCUCCUGGUCCUGGCUGCCGGCUUCUGGCUGGUCCAACUGCUUCGCUCAGUCUGCAACCUCUUCAGCUACUGGGACAUCCAGGUGUUUUACAGGGAGGCCCUGCACAUCCCCCCGGUGAGCUGGGUGGCUGUGUCUGCGGAGGGUGCUGUGAGAGGGUGGGCAGAGGAGAGGGGAAGAAGUGGGACUGUACAGGUGGAAGGGCCAACUGGAAAGAGGGCAGAAAGAGCGAGGUCUUAUUGACACCUGCCCCAGGCCCAGAAUAAUGUCAGGAGGGGGCUACCACCACCUAGAGAGCAUGGCCCUUACCCUAAGGGAGUUUAGUUUAUUUAGAUGGCUCAUAUACGAUGACAUAUAGUUACAUGUUUGUGCUAAAAACAUUGAU